rnacentral:rRNA from 1 species
GACGAACGCUGGCGGCGUGCUUAACACAUGCAAGUCGAGCGGUAAGGCCCCUUCGGGGGUACACGAGCGGCGAACGGGUGAGUAACACGUGAGUAACCUGCCCCAUUCUUCGGAAUAACCAGUGGAAACGCUGGCUAAUGCCGAAUAUGACCAUCGAAGGCAUCUUCUGGUGGUGGAAAGCUCCGGCGGAGUGGGAUGGACUCGCGGCCUAUCAGCUUGUUGGUGAGGUAACGGCUCACCAAGGCGACGACGGGUAGCCGGCCUGAGAGGGUGACCGGCCACACUGGGACUGAGACACGGCCCAGACUCCUACGGGAGGCAGCAGUGGGGAAUAUUGGACAAUGGGCGAAAGCCUGAUCCAGCAACGCCGCGUGAGGGAUGACGGCCUUCGGGUUGUAAACCUCUUUCAGCAGGGACGAAGCGAAAGUGACGGUACCUGCAGAAGAAGGACCGGCCAACUACGUGCCAGCCGCCGCCGUAAGAC